AUCCAGCUGAGGAGUCCCAAAUAGGGCGAAACGCUCCUUGUUCUGGAU
rnacentral:hammerhead_ribozyme from 1 species